GUAAUGGCAGGUGCUCUAUCUUGUUCACCGUAGGACGAACUUCGGGCAGGGGCACCACAGGGCCAAAUUAUAAGGCGGUGGAGUCAUGGUCGCUCGGUCUAGCGGCUGAUGAAGCUGGUCCAUGGGUCGCUCUCUGAGGUGGUGUGGGGCCCACUACAGUAAUGUGUGAGCGAUCGGGCCAGAUGAGAGCAUUUCCUUGGUGGCUUCUCGUUCAUGUUACG